GACGAACGCUGGCGGCGUGCUUAACACAUGCAAGUCGAACGGAAAGGCCCUGCUUUUGUGGGGUGCUCGAGUGGCGAACGGGUGAGUAACACGUGAGUAACCUGCCCUUGACUUUGGGAUAACUUCAGGAAACUGGGGCUAAUACCGGAUAGGAGCUCCUGCUGCAUGGUGGGGGUUGGAAAGUUUCGGCGGUUGGGGAUGGACUCGCGGCUUAUCAGCUUGUUGGUGGGGUAGUGGCUUACCAAGGCUUUGACGGGUAGCCGGCCUGAGAGGGUGACCGGCCACAUAGGGACUGAGAUACGGCCCGGACUGCUACGGGAGGCAGCAGUGGGGAAUAUUGCACGAUGGGCGGAAGCCUGAUGCAGCAACGCCGCGUGCGGGAUGACGGCCUUCGGGUUGUAAACCGCUUUCGCCUGUGACGAAGCGUGAGUGACGGUAAUGGGUAAAGAAGCAACGGCUAACUACGUG
rnacentral:rRNA from 1 species